rnacentral:rRNA from 1 species
GACGAACGCUGGCGGCGUGCUUAACACAUGCAAGUCGAACGGUGAAGCUCCAGCUUGCUGGAGUGGAUCAGUGGCGAACGGGUGAGUAACACGUGAGCAACCUGCCCCUGACUCUGGAAUAAGCGCUGGAAACGGCGUCUAAUACUGGAUACGAGAAGGGUCCGCAUGGGCACUUUCUGGAAAGUUUUUCGGUUGGGGAUGGGCUCGCGGCCUAUCAGCCUGUUGGUGAGGUAAUGGCUCACCAAGGCGACGACGGGUAGCCGGCCUGAGAGGGCGACCGGCCACACUGGGACUGAGACACGGCCCAGACUCCUACGGGAGGCAGCAGUGGGGAAUAUUGCACAAUGGGCGAAAGCCUGAUGCAGCGACGCCGCGUGAGGGAUGACGGCCUUCGGGUUGUAAACCUCUUUCAGCAGGGAAGAAGCGAAAGUGACGGUACCUGCAGAAGAAGCACCGGCUAACUACGUG